GAUGAACGCUGGCGGCGUGCCUAAUACAUGCAAGUCAAGCGAACAGACGAGGAGCUUGCUCCUCUGACGUUAGCGGCGGACGGGUGAGUAACACGUGGAUAACCUACCUAUAAGACUGGGAUAACUUCGGGAAACCGGAGCUAAUACCGGAUAAUAUAUUGAACCGCAUGGUUCAAUAGUGAAAGACGGUUUUGCUGUCACUUAUAGAUGGAUCCGCGCCGCAUUAGCUAGUUGGUAAGGUAACGGCUUACCAAGGCAACGAUGCGUAGCCGACCUGAGAGGGUGAUCGGCCACACUGGAACUGGGACACGGUCCAGACUCCUACGGGAGGCAGCAGUAGGGAAUCUUCCGCAAUGGGCGAAAGCCUGACGGAGCAACGCCGCGUGAGUGAUGAAGGUCUUCGGAUCGUAAAACUCUGUUAUUAGGGAAGAACAAAUGUGUAAGUAACUAUGCACGUCUUGACGGUACCUAAUCAGAAAGCCACGGCUAACUACGUG
rnacentral:rRNA from 1 species